rnacentral:piRNA from 1 species
AUUUCUGACUACGUAGACAAGCC